rnacentral:sRNA from 1 species
GCGAUGAGCUGAAUUGGAUAAGUCGACCGACACUCCUUUUGGAAAUGCACGAUGUGGCGUGCAGUCAGUCGCCCCAAUACGCAAGGACGCCUUUCGGGGCGUCCU